GCCAUAGCCGGGGCAGUGCCUUUCAAAGCUGCUCUCAUGGAGCACUUAGCCCUAAUCCAGCCCUUCAGGGAGGAGGUGCAGAGACUCAUGGCAGAGCACCCCCUACACCUGAUGCCCGGCAUAGGGAGCUGGUAAGUCUCCUACAGGAGCUAAAUGUUCUGGUUUUCCUAACACCUGGUUGCUUUAGGAGUAUUGUAGAGCAUGUUGCUUCAAAGCUCAAUAUCCCAGCAACCAAUGUAUUUGCCAAUAAGCAGAAAUUCUACUUUAACGGUAAG
rnacentral:lncRNA from 1 species